rnacentral:rRNA from 1 species
AAUCAACGCUGGCGGCGUGCCUAACACAUGCAAGUCGAACGAGAAAGUGGAGCAAUCCAUGAGUAAAGUGGCGCACGGGUGAGUAACACGUGACUAACCUACCCUUGAGUGGGGGAUAACCUAGGGAAACCUGGGCUAAUACCGCAUAAUACCUACGGGUCAAAGGAGCAAUUACGCUUUAGGAGGGGGUCGCGGCAGAUUAGUUAGGUUGGCGGGGUAAGUGGCCCACCAAGACGAUGGAUCGUAUCCGGCCUGAGAGGGCGCACGGACACACUGGAACUGAACACGGUCCAGACUCCUACGGGAGGCAGCAGUGGGGAA